CGGACGGGUGAGUAACGCGUGAGAAUCUGCCUUCAGGACGGAGACACAGUUGGAAACGACUGUGAAGCCCCGAUGAACCGAAAGGGAAAAUAUUUAUAGCCUGAAGAUGAGCUCGCGUCCGAUUAGCUAGUUGGCGGAGUAAAAGCCCACCAAGGCGACGAUCGGUAGCUGGUCUGAGAGGACGAUCAGUCACACUGGGACUGAGACACGGCCCAGACUCCUACGGGAGGCAGCAGUGGGGAAUUUUCCGCAAUGGGCGAAAGCCUGACGGAGCAAGACCGCGUGGGGGAAGAAGGCUCUUGGGUUGUAAACCCCUUUUCUCUGGGAAGAAAGUUGUGAAAGCAACCUGACGGUACCAGAGGAAUCAGCAUCGGCUAACUCCGUGCUAGCAGCCUCGGUCAGACGGAGGAUGCAAGCGUUAUCCGGAAUGAUUGGGCGUAAAGCGUCCGCAGGUGGCAGUUCAAGUCUGCUGUCAAAGACCGGGGCUUAACUUCGGAAAGGCAGUGGAAACUGAACAGCUAGAGUAUGGUAGGGGCAGAGGGAAUUCCUGGUGUAGCGGUGAAAUGCGUAGAGAUCAGGAAGAACAUCGGUGGCGAAGGCGCUCUGCUGGACCAUAACUGACACUCAGGGACGAAAGCUAGGGGAGCGAAUGGGAUUAGAUACCCCAGUAGUCC
rnacentral:rRNA from 1 species